rnacentral:rRNA from 1 species
AGUGAACGCUGGCGGUAGGCCUAACACAUGCAAGUCGAACGGCAGCACAGUAAGCGCUUUCUCUUACGGGUGGCGAGUGGCGGACGGGUGAGGAAUACAUCGGCAUCUACUUUUUCGUGGUGUAUAACGUAGGGAAACUUACGCUAAUACCGCAUACGACCUACGGGUGAAAGCAGGUGAUCUUCGGACCUUGCGCGAUUGAAUGAGCCGAUGUCGGAUUAUAUAGUUGGCGGGGUAAAGGCCCACCAAGGCGACAAUCCGUAGCUGGUCUGAGAGGAUGAUAAGCCACACUGGAACUGAGACACGGUCAAGACGCCUAAGAGAGGCAGCAGAAGGGGAUAUUAGACAAUGGGAGCAAGUCUGAUACAACCAGACCGAGUGGGAGAAAAAGACAAUCGGGUUGUAAAGACCUUUUGUGGGGAAAGAAAAGCAGCAGGUUAAGAAGCAGCUGUAGUGACGGUACCCAAAGAAUAAGCACAGGAUAACUUCGUG